UCACGUGGGGCUGUGCUGGGAACAUCCUAGCACAAGAUUUGGGUUGGGCCUCUGCUUGAGGGCCUGCAAGGGAAAGUCCUGGGGAGGAUGUCGGGAGGCAGCAGAGUCAAGGUUCUCUGUUCCCCAGAAUCCCUAGUCCCACUGGGGACCCCUCCUCAUCCACGUAUAGAUAAGGAAUGGAAAAAUUCCUCUUGUGGAGAUGAUGCUGUCUACCUAACCUGCUGUAGUGCAGAAUAGAUGAAAUGCUAUCUGAAGAAUGCCUAGGAGUGCACCUAGCUGUAGGAAUAUUGUGACCAGACCUACAUGGACAGUGGCAAGAACAAAGGAUUCCAGCACUAAGAAGUUUGCAACAACCAGACACACCCCUUUCCUUUUUAGUAUAAAAGAAGCCUGAAUUCUAACUCAGGUGUAUACCAUGAAAGGCGUACCGUACCAGUGAAUGGCCAUCUACGUGCAUUGGAUUCUUUUUUGAUUAUUUCCUGGCUGUGAAUACUGAUUUCCCCACCAGACUAUCAGCAGUUCUUGGAGAAGGUGUCUGUCUGUCACGAUUUGUAGGUUCUUUUGUCUCCAGUUCAUCGGUAUAUUUACUGCUGCUCUCCCAGGAAGAGAGAAGACAGGCUAUUUCAAAAAGAAAAACUUAAACCAAAGACAUUCCCUCCUGCUGCUGCUCUGAAGUUAGAUUCGUUGGUCAGAUCAGGUGGCAUGGAAUCUUAAAUAAUUUAGCCCAGACUGCUCACCUGGUAGGUGAGGAAGCCAAGUGCAAAAGAGGAAAGGCGAUGUGUUAGCCAGCAAGCGGGAUUGCUGGAUCUCCCUGGAAGUGGUGGGAGGCAGUAUAUCAGCAUGGUUAAAAGUAAGGACUCAGAUGGUCUGGGCUCUGCCACCGACCAGCUGUGCGGUCUGGGGAAUGUUACUUAGCUUUUGCUAAGCCUCAGUUCACUCGACGACAAAAUGGAGUUGUUGUGAUAAUUAAAUUUUUUAAAACGUGCAUAUUCACAGUGUGAUGACACGUUUAAAUACUCAGUGCCUGUCAGUGAUGAUGAAGAUAAAGAUGAUGGUGCUGAUGGCAAUGAUGCUGGUGCUGAUGAUGAUGGCGGGGACAGUGGUGAUGUAAUUGAAUGAGCACGGGCUUUGACAUCAGCGCGCCUGAGUGCGAAAGUCUGUUAUAGUUGUUUGACCUUGUUAAAACUACCUAACCUCUGUUUAUAGCUGUCAAUUUAAAUAUGUGUAAAAUAGAGAAAGUCGUCUCGGUCUUGCACUGUUUUGAGAAUGAAAUAAAACAAUACAUGUAUUCAAAUUACUGAGCACAUCCUGGCACAAAGAAGGUGCUCAAGUAAUGUUUGUUCUCUAUCCCUGAACCUAAACUUCUUUCUUCAUUUCCUCCUCCUCCUCGCCUUUCCCUCUCCUCUUCCUCUUCAUUCUUCUCUAAUAGCAAUCCUUUUUUUUUUUAAUUUAAUGCUGUGUUGUCAUUUAUCCAUUAGCUGCCAAUCUGGAAAUACGUGUUGCCCUCAUUGCUUCUAAGGACCCCGCUUCAUCCUCUUGUUUCCACAGGUGGACUCUACAGUGUCUGGCUGUCUCUCCUGUCCCUUGUGGAUGGCCCUGACCCCAGACACUGACCCUCCACUCGGAGCUUCCCUGGGUAUUCAUUUCAGGGCAGGGGCACUUACUCUGGGGGAAUCCUUAUCGUACCAGAGAUUUGAGGCAGUAUGUGUGGCCUCCCCUGAGACAGGCUGGGACCCGGGACCUGGGACCUUUUGCUGCAGUGCUUGCACCUGAACAACUGUCUCCUCCAGCAACAGAAUACGGAGAAACUCAACUGCAGGCAUGCGUGGUUGGGGCAAAUUAUGAGCAAUGAGUUACAGAAAGACCAAAACCCAACUGCCCCUUCUGAGGUGUCAGGAGCAAAAGCAGGGGACUGUGCAUGGUCCCUGCACACAGCCUCACCAAGGGGGUGGGCAGACGACCUAAGCCAUCCCUCCCACCUGAUCCACCUGUCCACCCUUAGCCUCACCCCAUUUAAGGGACCAGCUCGCCUCCACUCAGGGAUCCAGCAAGGGGAUCUGUUGCUUUUUCCCCUCCCUCCUGCCCCAGCACCAGUCCUGAAUUAGGGCCUCCUAGCAAUUUCUAUUGAUUAAAGAGUCCAAGAGCUCUGGUCAGUGGCCUCCAGGUUCCCUCAUCUCCAUCUAGACAGUGUUCAGUGGAUAGAGUUAAUACAUUGUUGUCUGGAAGCUUUUGGCAGUUUUCUUGCUUCAGCCAUGAAAACUAUAGGUUAUCUUUUUUCAUCGUUUUUGGUGGGACUCCAGGAUGCGAGUGGAACCAGAAUCUUCUGAUCUUCUUCUCUUGACCCAGGUUUUUUUCUUUCAUGUAAUAAGGAAGAAACAAAUGAACUCCAUAUUCAGACAUCUUUUGUAAAAGCACCAAGUCUUCUGGCUCUAAUGCAGAGAGACCAGCUUGAUGGCUCCCAGAAGCUGAACGUGACUGAAAAUCAGGUCAGGGACUGUCACAUGAGGGGCACCAAAGGUCAGCGACCAAUGACAGAAUGUCCCCAUGGCUGACAGAAGUGCAUCAUGAAACCAGCAAGUACCAGCUCGGGGACUCCAUUUUUUUUGGAACUGCAGAAUCCCAUCUGUUUCCUUUUAUGCCUUGAUAUCCCCAAAGUCACUCCUUCCAAAUGGCAGAGAACACAUAUGUAUUGUUUUAAUUAAAGUGAAUAGGUUUGAGGAUUUCAAAAGAGAACGUUUAAGAUAUCUGAGGGGGUUACAAAAUCAGAGGGGAAAAGCUUCUUACACCAGAGAGAAUUAGGGUCACAGAACAAAUUUAGGCAUAAAAACAGCACUGGGGUCAGGGGAGAGAGGAAGGAGAAUGGGUCGAGGAGGGGUGAAAACUUGCCCAUAAAUUUUUUACAUGAAGAAAAAAAAAAGGAAGGAAGAAAAGAAUAAUAGAAAGACAGAGGAAACAUUGAAGCUCACUUUUUAUUUUGUUUUCAAAUGGAUUCCAUUAGAUGCAAUAUGUCAUUCUGAGUGCACCUGAAUAUAGCUGUGGAUUUAGAUAACUCUUUUUUCCUCCCCUUCUGACCUUUAUUAUGACUGCAAAAAUGCUGUGUGUGAGGGAUAAAUAAUGCAUGACCUCAGCCAGGAGAGGAAGGAAGACCUGAGGAAACAUUGCGGAAUAGAGGAAGCAAAAUUUCUUUCUCUACUAUAUUUUUCACUCCCGACCGACUCCCACCUCCAUCCCCACUCCCUGCUCUCUCCCACCCACCAAUCCAGGACCCCAAAACCUGGAUGCAGCGUGCUGAAGAGCAUGGAUAUGGGGGUCGAACUUGCAUUUAAAAUCCUUGUAGCUAGGCUGUCUCAUUUGUGUGAUGUAUCAUACCCAUCACAGGAUGCUCUGAAUCCAAAGCUUUGGAAAGAUAACAAAUGAAGAUGUAUACAAAUGAAUCUUUUCCACUGCACCCUGGAGAACAAACAGAAGACAGAACGCCUAUUCUGGUCAGUUGUGAGCCUCAGACGUCAGUGGAAGAGCUGCUCAGGGAGGAGGGUACCUCCUUAGUGAGCCCAGAAUGACCCUGAAGGGGUCCUCGAGUGCCCAGAACCCUGGUCUUGGCUUUGGAUCCUCCAGGCUGGCUUCUGUGGCGUCAAAGCACACAAAAGUUCUCUGCAAUACCCUUGGAGUGAGAAUCUGGGGUUUCUUGCCGCGUUUAGAAGCCAGAUCCCUCCGUUUCUUGCAGUCAUAAAAGAAACAGAGGAAGGGAUGGAACUGAACUUGCAGCUUGUGCUAAACUCAAAGUUGGCUCUUACCCAAGAAUAACUUGUAUGUCCAUUUGUCUGUGAUUCCCCAUUUCCCGCCUAGAUUUUCCUGUACUCUCUUGGAAAACUAGUUUUCAGAGUCUUGGUUCCUCGAAUGUUGUCAAGUUUAAGUAGAAAGGAGAUGAGUCUGCCUGGUAAAUAAGACCAUCCCUCCACAAGUGGGGUUAUUUUGAUCUACCUGGGUGGUGGUGGCCACGUACCUACCCUUUAGAUCUGUGGAAAGAUGCGUGGCUUAAGCACCCCGUGGGCUCUCUUUCCAUGUCCUGUCCUCUGAUGCCCCAAUGAGAGCUUGCAACAGACAGCAAAUGGUUUUGUAUGAUCACUGGGGAAUUCCCUUUCUUUUCCCCUUUCCAGUUUUACCACCUAUUUCAAGAUGAACUUGAGGUGAAAGUGUGGUCACCAGGGUGCCAGUUGGAGGAUACUGACAACCUCAGGGCUGUGGCUAUUGCCCGGAGAAAUCUCUGACUCUGGAUUCAAAGGGUCAUUGCUCGGGGGUUGCCCAAGGAAGCUGUUACAACAGCUCCUUCCAGUCUCACUUCCUAUUAGAUACAUUCUUGUCAUUUCCAUGGCAACCGGGAAGUUUCUUGGGUUGCGCUGAUCCACUGCUUGGGGACAUAUGGGAGGACAAUUGGAUGGGGUAGGUAGAUACAGAGGCUGAGCUGCUUAAACCUUCCCAUUUUAUCCUUACUUCGGGCCCUCACAGGGCUCUCCCCGAGACCAGGCGCAGGAACGUCAGGAUCAUUAUUCGUUCUGUAACCUCGGGGCCCCACCUGCCAAUCCUGAGUGACAAACAUACAUAAAGUGACUAGAGGUCUGUGCUAGAAAUGUUGUGUGACUCCGCUUCCUACUGCGACCUUGCCCGUCCUUACGGCUCCUCUCCUCCCUGCCGAUCUUCCCUCUUUCUCCUUCUCUGCCUUUAGCUUCUUCCCCAGGCUUAGUGCCAGAGGCAGGGAGAAGGCAUCGCUGACGACGUGGAGGGCAUGGGAUCUGCAGCAGGGAGGUCAAAUGCAAGGUCUGCUUUCCAGCCACGUGACCUUGAACUUCAGUUUCUUCGUCAGUGCAAAUGGAAAUGAUGCUUUUUUCCUCUCUCUUAGGGCUGUGGUGAGAAUUAAAUGGGUUAAAAAUCUGUGUGGUACUUAGAACAGUGCCUGUCAAGUAGAUGGGUCUACGAAGGGUGACCUUAGAUCCGGAUGCAUCUGGGACAGCCUCGUUUGAAACCUGCUGUCCCAGCAUUGUUGUGACUGUGUUCUCUUACCACUUUGAAAGUAUCCAGGGUUCGGAUGCUAAAUGUGGUCACCCUGUACGCAGUCUUAGGUAUUUUACUACUGGGCAGUGAUCUGUUAAUUCUGUGGAGGUGCAGGAUUGGACGUCGCAGGCUAGGAAGUGAGGCAAAUAAGAGCAUCUACAAUUAACCAGUUUCAAGUUAAACUGCUCUUAUCUUUGGAGACAAAGAAAACCCUGUAACGCUGAAGUUCUGCUCUUCCCCACCCCCUCCCACGUCUGGGGUGGAAGGUGCCAAGAACCAACAGGGAGGGCAGCCCCACCAGGGUCCCGCCAGCUGUGCACAUUCAGAAAGCAAGCAUUGAGAGCCCAGCCCUGGGAGCUGCAUUUUUGCUCUGCCUCCAGCUACGUAACUGAGGUCAGGGUGCCAGGAUCUCUCAGGGCAGCCAGCAUGGCCAUGAGUUCCCAAAUAAAAGGAAAAUAUCUUGAGAUGAUCAACCUUCUGUUGGGGGCACACGAGGUGGUGACAGUGACGGUGGGUUGGUGAAGAGUUACCAGAGACCGAGAAGAGUUUAGGGAAGUUUAAUAGAGACACUGCUAUAGGCAACAGCUGGCCACACAGGCGAGAGGUGCCUGCGUGACUGCGUGAGCGCCAUGGGGAGGGUGGGGAGGGUGGGUGUGCAGGGUCUUUUAUUGCGGGGAGGGGGCUAUGCACACAAGGAGUAGGGGGCUGAGGGAUCAAUCCCUGCACAAGUACUUGAUUGGUUGUUAAGAUCUGUCAGGGACGUCUCUGAAUAAUAGGUUUUAGGACUGAUAAGGGCAGGAUGUGUCUCCUGUCUGCCUAGGGUGUUAGGGUAUUAUGAGCCGGGCUGUCUCCUGGGGUGAUGGGUUUUGUUAGGAUAAACACACAUCAAGAGAAGGUGUUUUAUAUCUUGCAGAAAUGCAGGUAUGCUAAGGGUCCUGCAGUGGGGAGUGGGGGUUAAGCUAUCAGUCAGCUCCAGGCACACAGAGAGCCCAGGGAUGGGCGUUUUAUGACUCCAGAGAGUGCCAGCCGGAUCCACACCUUCCUCCCUGGUAGAAGGGAAGGACAGGGGUCAAUCUUGGCAAAACAUUUUCACAGGGACCACGCAGCCUUUAUGUUGGCAGAGUGCAGCCCGAGAGCUCUGCUGGCGGCCUGGCCCUUGGGCUCCUCUUCCACACUAAGUCCCUGAGGUCCUUGUAUAUGUGCCUCAGAUCAUUGUCUGUCCAUCUGUCUGUCUGUCUAUCUACCUAUCUAUCUAUCCA